rnacentral:pre_miRNA from 1 species
AGCAUUCUGUAUCUGUGCUGAGAUUUCACCACACACUAGACCAUAAAGGCUGAUGAGACUUCCAAAAUAAGUGGACCG